AAUCAACGCUGGCGGCGUGCCUCAGACAUGCAAGUCGAACGCGAAAUUUCCCUUCGGGGAGAAAGUAGAGUGGCGCACGGGUGAGUAACACGUAGGUAAUUUGCCUUUGGGUGGGGAAUAACUCAGGGAAACUUGAGCUAAUACCGCAUAAUGCAGCGGCUCGACAUCGAGACAGUUGUUAAAGCGGGGGAUUGGAGCAAUCCGACCUCGCGCCUAAAGAGAAGCCUGCGGCAGAUUAGCUAGUUGGUAAGGUAAUGGCUUACCAAGGCGACGAUCUGUAACCGGCCUGAGAGGGCGGUCGGUCACACUGACACUGACAUACGGGCCAGACUCCUACGGGAGGCAGCAGUCGGGAAUUUUGGGCAAUGGGCGCAAGCCUGACCCAGCAACGCCGCGUGAAGGAUGAAAUUUUUCGGAAUGUAAACUUCGCAAGAACAGGAAGAAUAAGUGUGGGACAAUACCCCACAUGAUGACGGUACUGUUUGUAAGCUCCGGCUAACUCCGU
rnacentral:rRNA from 1 species